rnacentral:lncRNA from 1 species
CUCAGCCUUCAUAACUGUGAAAAAAUAAAUUCUAUUUUUUAUUAUUCUAAAGAAUAAUUCUUUUCGUUAUAUGUUACCCAGUCUUAGAUAUUCUGUUACAGUAGCACAAAGUGCACUAAGCUGUGUAGAUAGAAGCUGUAUUUUAGGGCUGACUGAAACUCUGAGGAUUUAUUUUAAGAUAGAAAAAAGUAGACUUGUUGACAAUUUGGAUAUGAGCUUUGAGAAAAAGGGAAGCGUCAAAAGUACUUCUUAAAUUAUUGGCUGGCCAAAUGAGGAAAAGGAGGUUGUGGAGGGGAAUUGAGAUAGAGGAAGUGAAUAAAGAUUUCAGUUUGGGAUAUAUUAACUUUGGGAAAUUUUUGAGACAUCCAGUUGGAGAUGUUGAGUAGGCAAUUGGCUCUACAAAUUUAUAUUCAGGGAUAGGUUAGGACACAUGUGGUAUGGAUAUGAUACAUCUUUCACUCAUUUUCUAUUAAGAGAAUUUUGAAAAUGGAUGCUUCUGAGUUGAGUUGGGAAACCAUCUCUUUUAACCCCUAAGCUAAGUCUUGCUACCAUUAGAAAAAUGUGUUUUCCAGUUAUGCUUUCUUCAGAAGAUUAGCAGAUAACUGAUGUCUUUUGAAAAGUUUAAAUGGUAAAUAACUUUUAAAAAUAUGGUGCCUGUAUUGUCUGGAAACAUUUAAAAACAGAGAAAAGAAAAACACUAAAUUCAGAUGGAAUCUUGCCACAUAGAAAUAAUCACUACUGAUAUUUCUGUAUAUAUUCCACUUUUUUGUAUGCAUAUUUACAAAUCAGAGACACACUUGAAAUAAAACAAAGAAAUGAUAGAUGCUUGAGGUGAUGGAUAUCUCAAUUACCCUGAUUUGAUCAUUACACAUUGUUUGCUUGUAUCAUAAUAUCACAUGUGCCCCAUAAAAAUGUAUAACUAUUAUGUGUUCAUGAUAAAGAUGCAACCAUGCUAUUUGCUACGGUUCUUAACUUUGCACUUUUUUUUCCCCAAAAGUCAAUGCUAAAAACCAAAAACCCAAAAAACCCACCAAAAAACCAAACCAAGUCAAUAUGCAAUCUCACAUUUCUGUAUAAUUAAAUAAGAGCCUAAGGUCUGGAUGAUUCUUUACUUUUAACAAGAACUCCAGGUAAUUAAUAUGAUCAACCUCAACUUCAGCUUUUUUCCUGAUGACUGCAUAUUAUUUAAAAACAAAACCAAACCCUGCUAUUUGUUUCUUCUUUCAGGUUAAAUUAUUCCAAGUGAUUCCAAUUAAGCAAUCCUCAUGUGUAUCUCUUUAAGCUGUGACCAGGAAGAUCUAAGAAGGUUCUAUGGCAUUUUGGAACUUUUCUCCCUGACUUGAUUGUAUUUGAAGUUUUGCCAAAAUGAAAAAUCAAGACCUGUGCCUUGGGGCAGAGCUGUAGAGCUACGUCAUGACGCUUGGUUUUCAUUUAAGACAGGGAGGCCAUUCUGGAAAUCAAACUUUAAUUAAGCACACAGCUGGGAGUGGAUAGGGGUCAAAGCCUGGAACUUGCCCCUCCUCCUCAUACUACUAUCCCAGGUGAGAUGUAUUUUCCUGGUAUGAUCCCCAUUGCUGGCAUGCCUGAACCUUUCCCCAGAUAAUUUCAGAAAGUGGCCUGUGAUGCAUGUUCUAAGGUAGGAUUUAUCUAAUUUCUUUUGAAUUGGUGAAGAUUGUAUUGGGAACUAGGGUUAGACUGUUUCUAACCUCAGGAGAGUCACUUCCAUACUGUUCCAGCUGAUAGCAAACACUGAUAACAAUUUCAAAGGAGGAAAAUAAAUGUUUAAAUGGCAGUAACGUAGAAAAGUGCCUUGGUUUCAAAACAUGUUGAUAACUACUGCUCCUUUGUUAUUCAGUUUUGCCCUCUAUAAAAGUCUGCUAUUAUUUCUAGCGCUGUUUCCUGAGUAGUUUUCUAGUCAAGCAAUAUGAGGGAUUAAAAUGGUGCCUGGGGCGGGGGUGGAGGGGAGGGCAGGGGUGGGGGAGUCAAGCUGAAGUUUCAGUACCCAAGUCUCAUUGUACUUUGCUAGGAAUACCUAUGGCAUUAAAGUAGGAGAUUUUCUUUUCUUUUCUUUUCUUUUUUUUUGAGAUGGAGUCUCG